rnacentral:rRNA from 1 species
AGUGAACGCUGGCGGUAGGCCUAAUACAUGCAAGUCGAGCGACCGCACAGUAAGAGCUUGCCCCUACGGGUGGCGACUGGCGGGUGGGUAAGAAAUACAUAAGAAUCUUCUUAUACGUGGGGGAUAUCGUAGAGAAGCAUCUACUACUACCGCAUAUGUUCUACGGCUGAAAUCAAGGGUUAAUGGCAGCUUUCGCGACACAUUGAGCCGACGCCGGAUUAGCUAGUUGGUUGGGUAACGGCCCACCAAGGCAACGAUGCGUAGCUGAUCUGAGAGGAUGAUCGGCCACACUGGAACUGAGACACGGUCCAGACUCCUACGGGAGGCAGCAGUAGGGAAUCUUCCGCAAUGGGCGAAAGCUUGACGCAGCAAUGCCGCGUGAGUGAUGAAGGCCUUCGGAUUGUAAAGCUCUUUUAUUAGGGAAGAAAAACAGUGUAUUAAUAUACGGCCGUUUUGACGGUACCCAAAGAGUAAGCCCCGGCUAACUUCGUG